CGGGAGGACGGCGCUGCGAGGAGGCGCCCGGAACAGUCAUGGAGCGCCGCGUGGGAGUGAGGGCCUGGGUGGAGGAGAACCGGGGCUCCUUCCAGCCCCCGGUCUGCAACAAGCUCAUGCACCAGGAGCAGCUCAAAGUCAUGUUUGUCGGAGGCCCCAACACCAGGAAGGACUAUCACAUCGAAGAGGGUGAAGAGGUAUUUUACCAGCUGGAGGGAGACAUGGUUCUCCGAGUCCUGGAGCAAGGGAAACACCGGGAUGUGGUCAUUCGGCAGGGAGAGAUAUUCCUCCUGCCUGCCAGGGUGCCCCACUCACCACAGAGGUUUGCCAAUACUGUGGGGCUGGUGGUUGAGCGAAGGCGGCUGGAGACCGAGCUAGAUGGGCUCAGGUACUAUGUGGGCGACACCAUGGACGUUCUGUUUGAGAAGUGGUUCUACUGCAAGGACCUCAGCACGCAGUUGGCCCCCAUCAUCCAGGAGUGAGCCCCCAGCCCAGCCCCUGCCUCUUGCUUUCCUGGGGCUCUGCAUCAGCACCUGAUGGCCUGGGAGGAAGUCUCCCCUCCCAGGGUGGGGAUCCUGGCCCAGAGAGCCCACUGCCAGGCUGGGGGGAGGAGGGAGCAGCAGCCCCGCUGGGAGGGAAAGGAUGGCAGACACACAGCUGUGUGAGAGCCCCAUGAGUGUGUGUGGGCACCUGCACCUGACUGUGAGUGUGGUGUAUGUGUGUGUCGCUGGCCACUCCAAUGGGAGUGCUCACCACUCCUGCUCCUCCCUGUUCGUCCCUGCAGGUUCUUCAGCUCUGAGCAGUACAGAACAGGAAAGCCCAUCCCUGACCAGCUGCUCAAGGAGCCACCAUUCCCUCUGAGCACACGAUCCAUCAUGGAGCCCAUGUCCCUGGAUGCCUGGCUGGACAGCCACCGCAGGGAGCUGCAGGCAGGCACACCACUCAGCCUGUUUGGGGACACCUAUGAGACCCAGGUGAUCGCCUAUGGGCAAGGCAGCAGCAAAGGCCUGAGACAGAAUGUGGACGUGUGGCUGUGGCAGCUGGAGGGCUCCUCGGUGGUGACAAUGGGGGGACGGCGCCUGAGCCUGGCCCCUGAUGACAGCCUCCUGGUGCUAGCUGGGACCUCGUGAGUACGCGGGGAGGGCUUUCCCUGGGAUCCUCAGGGUCCAGCUCUGUGUGACCCCUGCUCAUCUGUGUGUCCACAGGUAUGCCUGGGAGCGAACACAAGGCUCUGUGGCCCUGUCUGUGACCCAGGACCCUGCCUGCAAGAAGCCCCUGGGGUGACCCUCUAGCCAUGGCCUGAAGCAGCCACAGGUGUGCCAAGCACCCUCGAGUGCCAUCCCUGCCAAACAACUCUCCCAGCCCCCACUACCUCUCUGUGUACUGCCGCUGUGUCCCCCACAGACCUGGACAUUGUUGUCACCCACCCUCCUGCCCUUCUCAGCCCAGAUGCCACGCCCCUGGGCAGGCAGCAGCUCCCCAUCUUCUCUGGCAGCCUCAGCCCACUGCCUUGCCAGUCUUGCCAGGUGGUCUACCCCCAGCCCCGCUCCUGCCCAUUCCUCUGUCCCUGCAGACUCAGUGCGGCACUUCCACACCAAGAA
rnacentral:sRNA from 1 species